rnacentral:rRNA from 1 species
GACGAACGCUGGCGGCGUGCUUAACACAUGCAAGUCGAACGGAAAGGCCCUGCUUUUGUGGGUUGCUCGAGUGGCGAACGGGUGAGUAACACGUGAGUAACCUGCCCUUGACUUUGGGAUAACUUCAGGAAACUUGGGCUAAUACCGGAUAGGAUCUCCUGCUGCAUGGUGGGGGUUGGAAAGUUUCGGCUGUUGGGGAUGGACUCGCGGCUUAUCAGCUUGUUGGUGGGGUAGUGGCUUACCAAGGCUUUGACGGGUAGCCGGCCUGAGAGGGUGACCGGCGACAUUGGGACUGAGAGACGGCACAGAGUGGUACGGGAGGCAGCAGUGGGGAAUAUUGCACAAUGGGCGGAAGCCUGAUGCAGAAACGCCGCGUGCGGGAUGACGGCCUUCGGGUUGUAAACCGAUUUCGCCUGUGACGAAGCGUGAGUGACGGUAAUGGGUAAAGAAGCACCGGCUAACUACGUG